rnacentral:lncRNA from 1 species
UGUCAUUAGGUGGGAACGUGUGUGACAGAGAAAGCCAGAGGAGGCGGACAACCUCGCUCAUUUGAAUGCAAUUCAUCCUCACAGAACUUGCUCCACAAGACCAGUGUGGACUCCAGGCCCCACUUUUCAAAGGCCACCGCUGAGGACCAAGUUUCCACGCAAGAAUCUCUGUGGAACAGGCCACGCCCAGAUACCAGCACAGUGACAGUGAACGGAAGGCCCCAAAGAAACAAAAGGAGCCAGCCCAAGAAUACAGCAGGGGGCUGGCAUGUGGAAGGCCCAUGGAAGAUUCUGGGACACACAGAGAAAAGGGACAAUGGCAAGAAGCAAGGCUGCCCUGGUGACCAACACACCAGGACUCCUGGUGGUCAUCAGACAACAGCCACCUCCAAAGCCCACCCCGUGGUCCCAGCAAAGUGGCCUGCACUCGGCACUGGACAGCAGACCUGUUCAGCAGCGCAUCUGGAACUGCAC